GCCUGGCUGGCUCAGUCGGAGGGGUGUGUGAUUCUUGAUCUUAGGGCUGUGAGUUCGAGCCCCACGUUGGGCG
rnacentral:tRNA from 1 species